CCCUUAGAUGUUCUGGGCCGCACGCGCGCCACACUGAUGAAUUCAACGAGCACUAACCUGUGCCGAAAGGUUCGGGUAAUCUUGUGAAAUUUCAUCGUGAUGGGGAUUGAUUAUUGCAAUUUUUAAUCAUAAACGAGGAAUGCCUAGUAAGCGUGAGUCAUCAGCUCACGUUGAUUACGUCCCUGCCCUUUGUACACACCGCCCGUCGCUCCUACCGAUUGAAUGUGCCAGUGAAAAGUUCGGAUUGGAGAUAGGAGACGGCAACGUAUCCUAUUUCCGAGAAAAUCUUUAAACUUUCCCAUUUAGAGGAAGGAGAAGUCGUAACA
rnacentral:rRNA from 1 species